AGUGGACGCUGGCGGUAGGCCUAACACAUGCAAGUCGAACGGCAGCACAGUAAGAGCUUGCUCUUACGGGUGGCGAGUGGCGGACGGGUGAGGAAUACAUCGGAAUCUACUUUUUCGUGGGGGAUAACGUAGGGAAACUUACGCUAAUACCGCAUACGACCUACGGGUGAAAGCAGGGGAUCUUCGGACCUUGCGCGAUUGAAUGAGCCGAUGUCGGAUUAGCUAGUUGGCGGGGUAAAGGCCCACCAAGGCGACGAUCCGUAGCUGGUCUGAGAGGAUGAUCAGCCACACUGGAACUGAGACACGGUCCAGACUCCUACGGGAGGCAGCAGUGGGGAAUAUUGGACAAAGGGCGCAAGCCUGAUCCAGCCAUACCGCGUGGGUGAAGAAGGCCUUCGGGCUGUAAAGCCCUUUUGUUGGGAAAGAAAAGCAGCAGGUUAAUACCCCGCUGUUCUGACGGUACCCAAAGAAUAAGCACCGGCUAACUUCGUG
rnacentral:rRNA from 1 species